AAAUGCUUCAAAAAUGUGUCCAAAGACUGUACAUUUUAAACUGUCCAUUAGACACCCAGGUGAUGUAUUUAUGAAGAAGAUGGUCAAAAACACAGAAGUUUUAUGUUGUCUAAGUAACUGAACAGCUUGAGAACGCAAGGAAGUGGCAUCAUGAUAUUUUCCCUGGUCAUACAUUUUUCACUUCCCAUUUACUAAGAAUAGAGAGAAAUUUUGACUGAACUACUGGAGGAAGUCAAGAGGAGUCAUGAUAGAACAUGAAAAACUUUUGCCCGUUCUGGAAGGUGAAAGAGACCAUCUUCACACAGUGCUGAAGAAGAUGGAAUAAGCCAGCAGUCAAGACAAGUCUUGUAUUUGACAGCUUUUAUCUGUUAUAGCUUUUAUUACAGCUGGCUUUACCAGUUUUCAUGGUUACAGAAAUUAGAUUUGUACGUAUAGAUAGCACAAUAUGAUGAAAGUAUGGUGCACAUAACAUCUUUUACACAGAUCCCUAAACCUUCUCACAGAGACAGCAAAACUGUACAGCACAGGCAGAAUGAUAGCAUGCUGGCUCUUUACACUUUGGAUACUAAAAAUCCUCAGGCAAAAUAUUUUGUUGAAAAAGGUGACUUUGAGACAGAAAAUUCGAUGUUGUAUCGAAUGAGGCCUCUGUUUAUCCACUAA
ensembl:lncRNA